GCUCUAUAGCUUAGUUGGUAAAGCACUAGUCUAGCAAACAAAAAUCCUGGGUUCGAGUCCCGAUAAGCA
rnacentral:tRNA from 1 species